rnacentral:rRNA from 1 species
UAGGGAAUCUUCCACAAUGGACGCAAGUCUGAUGGAGCAACGCCGCGUGAGUGAAGAAGGUUUUCGGAUCGUAAAGCUCUGUUGUAAGAGAAGAACGUGUGUGAGAGUGGAAAGUUCACNCAGUGACGGUAACUUACCAGAAAGGGACGGCUAACUACGUGCCAG